rnacentral:rRNA from 1 species
GUGUCAGCAGCCGCGGUAAUACGUAGGCAGCGAGCGUUGUUCGGAAUUACUGGGCGUAAAGAGUGUGUAGGCGGUUUGGUAAGUUUGGUGUGAAAUCUCCCGGCUUAACUGGGAGGGUGCGCCGAAAACUGCCAGACUAGAGUGCCGGAGAGGAAAGCGGAAUUCCUGGUGUAGCGGUGAAAUGCGUAGAUAUCAGGAGGAACACCGGUGGUGUAGACGGCUUUCUGGACGGCCACUGACGCUGAGACACGAAAGCGUGGGGAGCAAACAGGAUUAGAUACCCUAGUAGUCC